GACUAGGGGUGCAAUGGCAGCCUGACUCAGCCUAUGUUGGGGGAGGGGAGGUUGACCCAGAAUCAGCUAGCUGGGUUCCAAGGCUAGGUCUAUCCGGAGGCCGCCUGCAAAACUCGGUGCCAGAACCCCAGUGCGGGGUCGCAGGAAUCGGAUGCACUGGGAGAGAAGCACAGAGGUGACGAGGGACUGGAGAUCUGACGCCGCGAUGCGGCGGAGCCUGUGACGGUCUGCUCAGCGUCUGCCCACCUCCCAGGGACCCGGGAACGAAAGCCAGUAGAGAAAGACACUGCCCCAGGCCACAUUCUCCCUCCCGCCGUCGCCCCACCUCCGCGGGCUCACCUGCAGGGAGAAGUUUGCUGAGACUGACAAAUGACUCCUUGGAAGUCAUGAGAUCCUUUAGAAGUCUGAAGCAUUCUGACGACACAGAGAUUAAUUUAGCCAUCAGAAGUUGUGUGGAUUCCAGAGGCUCCUGGAAAAUGGCGAGUGCACCAGUGGACAUACAGGGACGGAAGAUUGAACCUAGGGCUUCGUGUAUGCUAGGGAAGCACUCUUCACUGAGCUACAGUCCCUGCCUGACCUUGAACUUCUGAUUCUCUGGCACCCACUUCCUGAGUUCUGGGUUACAGUCUGGGGAUGGACCCCGCGGAGUGGUUCAAGCUAGAUGCUGGAUUACAGGAGUCUACCGCCACACCCAACUUUGCCUAUGUACACUCUUCUGCUAUGGAUACAGUUUCCUUACAGUCCUGCUCCAUGCUCAUUAUCAGUGACUUAGUACUGUUAAAUUAAUACUGCGUGCAUGUAUUCAUGGGCACAAACAUCGGUGUGUUGUUGGGCAUUUUUAUGGUUAAAAAUUUGCCACACAUUUAUUUUUAA